rnacentral:rRNA from 1 species
GACGGGGGGGGCAAGUGUUCUUCGGAAUGACUGGGCGUAAAGGGCACGUAGGCGUGAAUCGGGUUGAAAGUGAAAGUCGCCAAAAACGGGCGGAAUGCUCUCGAAACCAAUUCACUUGGGUGAGACAGAGGAGAGUGGAAUUUCGUGAUGUAGGGGUGAAAUCCGCAAAUCUACGAAGGAAGGCCAAAAGCGAAGGCAGCUCUCUGGGUCC